rnacentral:rRNA from 1 species
GAUGAACGCUGGCGGCGUGCCUAAUACAUGCAAGUCGAACGAAACUUCUUUAUCACCGAGUGCUUGCACUCACCGAUAAAGAGUUGAGUGACGAACGGGUGAGUAACACGUGGGCAACCUGCCCAAAAGAGGGGGAUAACACUUGGAAACAGGUGCUAAUACCGCAUAACCAUAGUUACCGCAUGGUAACUAUGUAAAAGGUGGCUAUACUACCGCUUUUGGAUGGGCCCGCGGCGCAUUAGCUAGUUGGUAGGGUAAAGGCUUACCAAGGCAAUGAUGCGUAGCCGAAUUGAGAGGUUGAUCGGCCACAUUGGGACUGAGACACGGCCCAAACUCCUACGGGAGGCAGCAGUAGGGAAUCUUCCACAAUGGGCGAAAGCCUGAUGGAGCAACGCCGCGUGGGUGAAGAAGGUCUUCGGAUCGUAAAACCCUGUUGUUAGAGAAGAAAGUGCGUGAGAGUAACUGUUCACGUUUCGACGGUAUCUAACCAGAAAGCCACUGCUAACUACGUG